GACGAACGCUGGCGGCGUGCCUAACACAUGCAAGUCGAACGAAGCAUAGCAAUAUGCUUAGUGGCGGACGGGUGAGUAACGCGUGAACAAUCUGCCCUGUACAAAGGAAUAGCCUCGGGAAACCGGGAUUAAAACCGUAUGACACUUUAGUAUCGCGUGAUAAGAAAGUCAAAUCGAAUAGAGGUAUGGGAUGAGUUCGCGUCUGAUUAGCUGGUUGGCGGGGUAACGGCCCACCAAGGCGACGAUCAGUAGCCGGCCUGAGAGGGUGAACGGCCACACUGGAACUGAGACACGGUCCAGACUCCUACGGGAGGCAGCAGUGGGGAAUAUUGCACAAUGGAGGGAACUCUGAUGCAGCGACGCCGCGUGAGUGAAGAAGGUCUUCGGAUCGUAAAACUCUGUCCUUGGUGAAGAAAGGACGGUAGCCAAGGAGGAAGCCCCGGCUAACUACGUG
rnacentral:rRNA from 1 species